rnacentral:rRNA from 1 species
GACGUAGGGCGCGAGCGUUGUCCGGAUUUAUUGGGCGUAAAGAGCUCGUAGGCGGCUUGUUGCGUCGACCGUGAAACCCGUGGCUUAACUGCGGGCUUGCGGUCGAUACGGGCGGGCUGGAGUUCGGUAGGGGAGACUGGGAAUUCCUGGUGUAGCGGUGAAAUGCGCAGAUAUCAGGAGGAACACCGGUGGCGGAAGGCGGGUCUCUGGGCCGAUACUGACGCUGAGGAGCGAAAGCGUGGGGAGCGAACAGG